UGCAAGCUUUAAAUCCUAUUUAACCAUCUCAGUAUCCGGCUAUAUAUAUAUAUUAGACUGAAGAUCUGGGCACAACUUUAAUUAUGACAUUCAAACAAAUGAACAUCAAGAAGAGGAGAGGUGACCCAUCAGGAAAAUGCAGGACAAGUCCAACUUCUGAGAAGUGGAAACAGAGAAACUACCAAGAUAAAUACAGGCACUUUUUAAGUUUUCAGGUUGCAAUAGUACGUUUUUAUUAAUGUAUUUAUUUACAGUAAUCUUAAUUGUCUAUUUCCUGCAUGCUUUAUGUAAAAUGUAAAAGUUGCAGUGUGUAACGUGUCAAUAAAAAAUCUCUACAGAGUAAA